rnacentral:rRNA from 1 species
CUGGGAUUAGAUACCCCACUAUGCUUAGCCCUAAACUUAAAUAAUUCCAUAACAAAAUUACUCGCCAGAGAACUACAAGCCAGAGCUUAAAACUCAAAGGACUUGGCGGUGCUUUAUACCCACCUAGAGGAGCCUGUUCUAUAAUCGAUAAACCCCGAUAAACCUUACCACUCUUUGCCAACUCAGCCUAUAUACCGCCAUCUUCAGCGAACCCUAAAAAGGAACAAAAGUAAGCUCAAUUAUCCCCAUAAAAACGUUAGGUCAAGGUGUAGCCUAUAGAGUGGAAAGUAAUGGGCUACAUUUUCUACUUCAGAACAUACGAAAGCCCUUAUGAAACCCUAAGAGCCCAAGGAGGAUUU